AGCUAUGGAGGUGAAAGUGGGAUACGCGCAUUGGCAACACGAGAGUAUAGGCGAGGGGGGCUUUGAACUUCCGGGGAGAUGAAAAAGAAUGACCAAUGACGACUGCUUAUUUUAAAACAAGCGCGUAUUUAUUAGGGAUUUCAUUAAAUUGUAUUUUUUGACGUAACAAUGACAUCUACGCUUGCGCGCAGAUCGCUAAAAAGAUCGCGCCGAAAAUAUCGCGCCAAAAGUGAUGUUUUGUCACUCAUCGUUUAACGUGUUACCGGAAUUCGUUAGUGAGUCAAUUCCUGGUGUUGAGCGCCGACCAAAAAGAUAAGUAUCUCUUCUUUUGUUAAUAUAACCUCAUCUUUUUGAUUGGUGUUUCUUUCUAUUUUAAAGGCAUUGGUCUCUGGGCUGGAGUGACGGAUUUUUGAUUUCUACUACUCAAGCGAACUUUAGUCAUGGCUGGUUAUUGCAAAUAUUCCUGCAAAUACCCCGAAUGCACCAGUGGUUAUGUUCCCAACAAAGGACAUGCCAACAAGCAUUUCUUCACCUUCCCUAAGAAUCCAAAGCUUCAAGAAUUGUGGAGGAAUGCCUGCAAAAUUGAGGAUUCUGUAAGUUCAAAAUUUUGGCGUUUUCUCUAUUUAGGGUAUUUCAGAAUUUACUUUUAAGUUUCUUAUUUGCGCUCGAGUGUGUCAGUGCACUGCAUGUACCUCCUCGUGGUCGUAGCAUGGGCAACUGUUUGCUGACAGACAAGGUAAAAGUCAUUGCAAAGUAGGCCUUAUUUUGUUUUAAGUCUGGAGGAUGAUGUAUGGUAUAUGGUGUCACAACUCCCUUUAAUUCCCCAUAUAAAAAUGUCAACUGAACGCAAUGCUAGCAACAUGGCAAGGUCGGGAACUUUUUUGAACAUUGUCCAGCAGAUGGAGCUGUUCUACAUAUUUUUGACUAUUUUUCAAAAUACGUCAUAAUGACACAUCAUAUUAAAUUCUGUGGUCUAAGGCUGUUUACGGUGUUUACGACUAUCUACGAACCUGUGCCAGGAAUUAUAUUAGUUAAUGAAUCACAAAUAUGGUCUUUGAAGGGAAAUUGAUUUAUUUAGCAGUAAAAUGGUUUCACUACAAUAAUCUCUUGAGUAGAAACCAUGUAGAAACAUCAGCUAUCAUAAACAUAAAUAAAUUCCUAUCGGAGGCCCGAAAACAACUGUGAACGCAUUAUAAGGUGACUGAUGUCUGUACAAACGGUAGUUGCACUUGAGUUUUCGAAAGUGUUAGAAUACAGCAACGCCAAAAACAACAAGUUGUGUCGAAAAAGCAUCAAUCCAUCGAGUAAUCUUUGUAAUCAAACCCAUUUGGAUAUAGGAACCAGCCUUGUUUCAAUGAUUUUAACUGAAAUUCCGCAUAACAUAAGAAAUGAGAGUAAUUAAUAAAGUUAUUAAUAUUUUUAAUCAAAACUACAGAUGAGAAGUAUAAUACACAAUUAGCAAAA